AGAAUGGGCACCGGACAACCUACCUCUCAGGGCAUGGUGAGGUGUAGCGAUCGCUCUCAGUGCCGGGCAGCUCAGGUGACAGGGGCUUCCCAGAGACAAUUGGGGUGUAAGAAAGCAGGGUCCUGAACUCCCAAUCGGAUCGGCCCACCUCUGCGCCAGCAUGAUAGGCUGGUCAUGUCUCCUUUGAAGACACGUGUACAGUGAACUGUCGCUGGAGGGCCCCUUAGGAGGUGUGAUCACAUCCGUGCCCCAAAGGAAGGGACAGAAUUGACCCCUUGGUCACUGUGUCAGCCCCCAUUGGGCUGCUUUGAACCCAGCCUAGCCCCCUUCCAUAGUGUAGGGGCUGAGAGAGGCCGGGAGGGAAGGAAACCACCCCUAACCCACCUGCCUCUGUCAGGGUUCAGCCAGGUUAAAGGGCUCUCUGCUGGUGGAGACCCUUCCCAGAGCGGCCCUGCUCCUGGCUCCAUGCCACAUUGAGGGAGCAGCCAAGUCUCCGAGCAGUCUCCUCUUUGGUGCCUCCUACAUUUCUUGAGGAAAAUUUAAAAAAUAAUGUGUCCUUAGCUACCCUGUUUUGAGCAGCAAUAUGCAGCCUCUUCCUUCCAAGAUUACCUCUGCAGACCACUGUUCUUGGCCAAGGACACUGAGGAGCUAGUCCUCUCGAAAGAGCUAGCGAGCUUGCUUCCAGGAAAUAUGGAUAAGAUGGCUGAAAUCCUCACUAACAAAACAAUACUUUUAUAGCCGUGAGAGCUUUAGACUAACCAGCCCCUAAUAGCCCUAAGAGAAGAGAAAGCACCUGCUUAUCCUCAGAAAGUACAGGAGAGGGGUUACACCUUCACUGGAGCCAGCUCGUGCAAGGAUGCUUCAUCCCGUGACAUCCAGAGCAGCAAAAGCAAAAAAUAAAAAUUUUCAAAAGAUGGGGAGGGAUCUUUUUUUUUUUACUUGUUUGGAAAAUUAUAAUAAAACAACUGAGUAUCUCCUGUGAGUAA
rnacentral:lncRNA from 1 species